rnacentral:rRNA from 1 species
GACGAACCGAGCAAACGUUAUUCGGAAUCACUGGGCUUAAAGGGCGCGUAGGCGGUCUCGUAAGUCUGCGGUGAAAUCCUCCAGCUCAACUGGAGAACGGCCGUGGAUACUGCGAGUCUCGAGGGAGGUAGGGGCGUGCGGAACAGAUGGUGGAGCGGUGAAAUGCGUUGAUACUCAUCUGGAACUCCGGUGGCGAAGGCGGCACGCUGGACCUCUUCUGACGCUGAGGCGCGAAAGCCAGGGGAGCAAACGGG